CCGUCUUAUAGGUCUGUUAGAGAAAAACCUAAAUAAGUCUAGACGUUGAUAGAAGCUAAACAGUACUGCCGACGAAGUCCGCUUCAAUAUUUUUCUCACUGGUUGAAACCUUCGACAUGCGUAUUGGAAAAUACGUUGAAUGAUAGACGUACCUCGCAGAUAUGUUUAAUAUGAAUCGCGCAGCUACCUACCUUACCUCUAGAUAACUUCAAGUUUCAGGUCUUGUGUAGCGAUGUCGGGAAGACAAUCAAUAAAAAUGGCAUAAGAACAGGCACGCAACGAUGAAUGGAGCAGCAGGCGCGUUCUGUGUGAAGAAGCAAGGGAUGUCGAUUGCGCAAAAGAAAAUUCGCUGAAUGUUCUGCUUCUAUAAACGAUCCAGAUGCCUCUACCCUACUUUGAUGUCUUGAUAGAUGCUGGUUACAAUGGAGUUACUUGCACGCUGCCUUCGACAGUUCGCUAGUAGUCGCAUUUAAUAGGACUCAUUUGUUAUUGGACCUUGGGUUGGUGCCCAGAUACAUUUAUCUUGUAAACGAAGAUCUAACGAAGACCUUGUUGACUAAGGAGUUCGGUGGGGGAGCUUGGGGCGGGGAAAUCGGUUAGGGUGGAACCUACACUAAGCAAGAGCAAAGAGUAGCAUAGUAGCUACGAAGAUCACAGUGUGCAAAGACAUUUCAAAUCUCCGAAAUUGUGCGCGGCAGUCGCCAGUUCCAUCGCAAUUGCAAUGGCGCUGUACGCUGAAUAAAAUAGAAGCAGCUGUGGUGGAAAUGUUGCUGGAGGAAAGCGUUACUUUCAAGAGCCCAAGCAGAAAACUGGCCUAACAGUCACACCUAGAUGUGGUCUAAGAUUGCCUUAUAUUGAGAACCUUUGAAACGCAUCGAAGAUCAAAAGGUUCGACCUAAGGAUUUUAGAAGACUCUCCACAUUUUCGCCGAGCACUCUGAGUCAACUCUGUCGAAGUCAAAUAUAGCUUUAGCUUCCUAAAGCUGAGCAGGUACAUUUGUGGAAAAAAUUAUCGGUGCAGAAAUCUUAACAAGCUCUUCAUUAAUAAAAACUACUAUUGCGAUUAUAUAUAUCCAUUUACAUCAGCAAGUGUUUACGGGACGCAAAGGGGAAACGGAAAAAAAAUAUAA